rnacentral:tRNA from 1 species
CGGGAGGUAGCGCAGUCUGGUUUUAGCGCACUUGGUUUGGGACCAAGGGGUCGCGGGUUCGAAUCCCGCCCUCCCGA